rnacentral:tRNA from 1 species
GUCAUUAUGGCCAAAUGGUCUAAGGCGCUGCGUUCAGGUCGCAGUCCACUUGUUUGGGUGUGGGUUCCAAUCCCACUUCUGACA